GACUAAGACCAAGAAAUGUUAAAGUUGAGUUUUCAUUUGGGACUGAAUUUCCAGGAAGCUUAGUUAAGCAAACUAAGGUUCGGUCUUGAUACGGAGAAUUAGUAAGAGGGUCCAAACUUGUAAACAAGGAAUAUUUUUUAGCUAGAUUUAUAACGUGAGUUUUAGUAAUUUUAAGAUUUGAUGCUACUUGUAGUCUCCUAAGAACAUUUAGGACAAGGACUAGGUCACCAUGCUAAAGCUAGCUUCUGUGUCAGUUUUCAUGUCCUCAUCUAGGAGAGGAUAUAUUAUGGCAAAGGAAGCAAAAUUCAGCUCUAGGAUUGGCAGGAAUUUUUUGCAUUGUGGUUAAAAUGUUUAAUGAGCUGGCACUGCUUUGCUCAUUUCUGUGUCCAACUCUAUUCUAACUGAACUGUUGAGGAAGAACUUAUUUGGAUGUUGGUGUUAUUUCCUCUAGGAGCUACUGCUGAAUUUGGUGGUGCUGAAUUCUGAGACUGACUGCAGAUUUCCAUCUUCCAUGGCUGAAUCAUUUUUCUAAGUUAACUUCCAUUAUGAAUGCGAAAAGUUUUGUCAGCCUCUGACAGAAAAAUGAAGACUUUAGUGCUUUCAGAGGUAUCAUGGACAUAUGGAACAAAUUCCUAUCUCAUGGAAAUGAUGGUGAAGAAAAAAGAGAUAGUGUGCAUGAUUAUCUGUUGUGGGAACACCUAACGUAAGAAUAAGAAUUUCCUUAUUUGUUCUCCUGUCAGUGAUUUGGUAUUUUACCACUUCAUUACAUUUCAUAAUACAGCAAAGUAUAAAGCUCUUCACAUACUUGACUGAGAUAGUGCCAAAAGAAUUUCUUCUUCAUAGUUGCUCCGAAUAAAUGUAUGCAUCUAACAAUGUUUUUAUCAGGUAAGAGCACUUCUGUCACUAUGAGGUGAAGGGACAUACUUUGUAAUAAAGUUGAUUUUGACCUGCACAGUCACAAUGACUUUGUCUUGUUUCCCUAUGCACAGUAUCUGACUCAUUGUAUGAAUGAAGUGACCACAGACUCUGAACUAUGUGAACCCUUUAGAACCUACAAGGUCAGUGAAUUCACACAACAGACAACUAAUGAUGUUAUACUGGUUUUGGUCACUCAAAUUAAAUUUUGUCCAAUUACUAGCCAGACAAACUAUUUUUGUAGAGUUAGGCUUGUUCUGGUAAUUAUUAAAAUUGUCUCCAUCUUUACAAAAUUAUUUUAAUCAGAUAGUAAUGCACUUAUUUUUUUAAUUAGUAGCUGCACUGGUAUUUCAAAUAUAGGCAUUUACUGAAGUUUAUAAUAUAUAUGUGUCUGUGUGUGUGUUUGUAUAGGUGAAGUAUUGUGAAUGCUAAACAAAACCUUCCAAGUCUUUAAUG